CCUACGGGAGGCAGCAGUGGGGAAUUUUGGACAAUGGGCGAAAGCCUGAUCCAGCAAUGCCGCGUGAGUGAAGAAGGCCUUCGGGUUGUAAAGCUCUUUUGUCAGGGAAGAAACGGUGAGGGCUAAUAUCUCUUGCUAAUGACGGUACCUGAAGAAUAAGCACCGGCUAACUACGUGCCAGCAGCCGCGGUAAUACGUAGGGUGCAAGCGUUAAUCGGAAUUACUGGGCGUAAAGCGUGCGCAGGCGGUUUUGUAAGUCUGUCGUGAAAUCCCCGGGCUCAACCUGGGAAUUGCGAUGGAGACUGCAAGGCUAGAAUCUGGCAGAGGGGGGUAGAAUUCCACGUGUAGCAGUGAAAUGCGUAGAGAUGUGGAGGAACACCGAUGGCGAAGGCAGCCCCCUGGGUCAAGAUUGACGCUCAUGCACGAAAGCGUGGGGAGCAAACAGGAUUAGAUACCCUGGUAGUCCACGCCCUAAACGAUGUCUACUAGUUGUCGGGUUUUAAUUAACUUGGUAACGCAGCUAACGCGUGAAGUAGACCGCCUGGGGAUACGGUCGCAAGAUUAAAACUCAAAUGAAUUGACCGGNNGAGAGNGCGACGACGACGACGAGGGAGGAGG
rnacentral:rRNA from 1 species